rnacentral:SRP_RNA from 1 species
GCUGGGCGUGGUGGCUCACGCCUGUAAUUCCAACACUUUGGGAGGCUGAGGCAGGUGGAUCACCUGAGGUCAGGAGUUCGAGACCAGCCUGGCCAACAUGGUGAAACCCUGUCUCUA